UCCCGGGUAGCUCAGCCAGGUAGAGCAGGUGACUGUUAAUCACCCUGUCGGGGGUUCGAGUCCCUCCCCGGGAG
rnacentral:tRNA from 2 species